rnacentral:rRNA from 1 species
GAUGAACGCUAGCUACAGGCUUAACACAUGCAAGUCGAGGGGAAACGACAUCGAAAGCUUGCUUUUGAUGGGCGUCGACCGGCGCACGGGUGAGUAACGCGUAUCCAACCUGCCCACCACUUGGGGAUAACCUUGCGAAAGUAAGACUAAUACCCAAUGACGUCUCAAGAAGACAUCUGAAAGAGAUUAAAGAUUUAUCGGUGAUGGACGGGGAUGCGUCUGAUUAGCUUGUUGGCGGGGUAACGGCCCACCAAGGCGACGAUCAGUAGGGGUUCUGAGAGGAAGGUCCCCCACAUUGGAACUGAGACACGGUCCAAACUCCUACGGGAGGCAGCAGUGAGGAAUAUUUGUCAAUGGACGAGAGUCUGAACCAGCCAAGUAGCGUGCAGGAUGACGGCCCUAUGGGUUGUAGACUGCUUUUAUAAGGGAAUAAAGUGAGUCUCGUGAGACUUUUUGCAUGUACCUUAUGAAUAAGGACCGGCUAAUUCCGUGCCAGCAGCCGCCGUAA